rnacentral:lncRNA from 1 species
CGUCACCACAGCAGGAGGUGGCUGUAUAAUUUAUACUCCCAUACCAGCUUUGAGAAUCGUGGAUUAUCACUUGCUUUCUCAAAUUUUUAAUGUCAAAUUCCAUGUAUUCAUAUGGUUCAUUUAAGUAAUUAUCUACAUUACAUUUGAUUUUAGAAUGGUUCUGUUUUCUUGUUGUACCAGACGAUUCCAGAAAAUAAAAUACAUAUGUUUUAGGUUUUAUAGGCGACAGAGACUCGUCAUCUUCAACUUUAUGUUGUCUUCAAAAUCUCUGUUCUUUUUU